rnacentral:rRNA from 1 species
CAGUCGCCGCGGUAAUACAGAGGUCCCAAGCGUUGUUCGGAUUCACUGGGCGUAAAGGGUGCGUAGGAGGCUGGGAAAGUCGGAUGUGAAAUCUCACCGCUUAACGGUGAAACUGCAUUCGAUACUACUCGGCUAGAGGAUCGGAGGGGAGAGCAGAAUUCUUGGUGUAGCGGUGAGAUGCGUAGAUAUCAAGAGGAAUACCAACAGCGUAGGCAGCUCUCUGGAAGAUUCCUGACUCUGAGGCACGAAGGCCAGGGGGCAAACGGGAUUAGAUACCCCUGUAGUCCCUGUCUAUUAUACA